rfam:Paracoccus aminophilus JCM 7686, complete genome.
GGAUCGUCACAACGGCUUCCUGGCGUGACGAUGACAUCGAACGGAGCA